UACGAAGGGUGCAAGCGUUACUCGGAAUUACUGGGCGUAAAGCGUGCGUAGGUGGUUUGUUAAGUCUGUUGUGAAAGCCCCGGCUCAACCUGGGAAUGGCAAUGGAUACUGGCAAGCUAGAGUGCGGUAGAGGGUAGUGGAAUUCCCGGUGUAGCGGUGAAAUGCGUAGAGAUCGGGAGGAACACCAGUGGCGAAGGCGGCUACCUGGACCAGCACUGACACUGAGGCACGAAAGCGUGGGGAGCAAACAGG
rnacentral:rRNA from 1 species